rnacentral:rRNA from 1 species
UGGGGAAUAUUGCACAAUGGGGGAAACCCUGAUGCAGCGACGCCGCGUGAGUGAAGAAGUAUUUCGGUAUGUAAAGCUCUAUCAGCAGGGAAGAAAUGACGGUACCUGACUAAGAAGCCCCGGCUAACUACGUCGCC